rnacentral:tRNA from 1 species
GCCAGUGUGGCAUAGUGGUUUGAGUGUUGGACUAUGACUCUGGAGACCAAGGUUCGAUUCCCUGCUUGGUCA